rnacentral:rRNA from 1 species
CGGACGGGUGAGUAACACGUGAGCAACCUGCCUUCAGGAGGGGAAUAACAGCUGGAAACAGCUGCUAAUACCGCAUAAUGCAUUUGGGGGACAUCCCCUGGAUGCCAAAGAUUUAUCGCCUGAAGAUGGGCUCGCGGCCGAUUAGAUAGUUGGUGGGGUAAUGGCCCACCAAGUCGACGAUCGGUAGCCGGACUGAGAGGUUGACCGGCCACAUUGGGACUGAGACACGGCCCAGACUCCUACGGGAGGCAGCAGUGAGGGAUAUUGCACAAUGGGCGAAAGCCUGAUGCAGCGACGCCGCGUGAGGGAAGACGGUCCUCUGGAUUGUAAACCUCUGUCCUCAGGGACGAAAAUGACGGUACCUGAGGAGGAAGCUCCGGCUAACUACGUGCCAGCAGCCGCGGUAAUACGUAGGGAGCGAGCGUUGUCCGGAAUUACUGGGUGUAAAGGGAGCGUAGGCGGGAUGGUAGUCUGUUGUGAAAUCUAUCGGCUCAACCGGUAGCUGCGGCAGAAACUGCGAUUCUUGAGUGAAGUAGAGGCAGGCGGAAUUCCUAGUGUAGCGGUGAAAUGCGUAGAUAUUAGGAGGAACACCAGUGGCGAAGGCGGCCUGCUGGGCUUUUACUGACGCUGAGGCUCGAAAGUGUGGGGAGCAAACAGGAUUAGAUACCCUGGUAGUCCACACCGUAAACGAUGAUUACUAGGUGUGGGGGGUCUGACCCCCUCCGUGCCGGAGUUAACACAAUAAGUAAUCCACCUGGGGAGUACGACCGCAAGGUUGAAACUC